rnacentral:tmRNA from 1 species
UAUCUUGACAUUUGUUUAAUAUUAUUAUAUAAUAGCUAUGUGCAUUUUAUACACUAUGGCAAUAAAAUUACUUUGUAAUAGGUGUAUUGGACCCGAGGGCAGUACUCGGCGCCUCCACCAUGUUUUUAAUUUAUAUGGGGGCGAAUAAGGAUCGACAUGCAUAGUAAAGAUGGUAACUUUGCUCGGUUAGACACCACCGUUAAGAGUUCGUAAUUUAAAUGCAAACGAUAACUUUGCUGCUAACGGUAAUGAAUCCCGUGUUGCUGCUUAAUUUAGCACAACCAAUUUAUUACUAAAGCACGGUUCAGGGAACGCCGGGUAACAGAAGUUCCCCUAG